AUGAAAUAGCUCUAUCAGAAUGAAGACGAAGAAAUACGCUGAGUCCAAACUUCUUUAUUGACUAAACAAUACAUGAUAAACAAAUAUACUCAGACAGCAAUGAUCGGAUAUUCCGGCUCAAACAUUGGUGAGAUCCAGCUCAACCUCAGGAUGUUUCCAGCGGCAUAUCCCGUUCGUGGUCGUCCUGUCACAGCAGUCAGAAUACCGGAUGUAAACAUCUAUAGUAAAAAAAUAACAAUGGCAAGAUGAAGUGACACCAAUGGCCAGAUUGAAAGACAGUGGCAUUGCCUUGGACUUAUUGCUGUGAUGACCAACACCACCAAGGGGAUGACAAGUAUGGUUAUAAAUGUCAUAAUAUAAAUAACAGCAAUUAAUGAAAUGGCAGAGAGGCACAGAUUGGAUAACAAGUCAAUAUACAAUGAAAUGGUGGUGAGAAUUAAGAAUGCAGGUAAGCGUCAAGUAAAUAACUGCAGUCAACUUAAACACAUCUUGUAACCUUUGGCAUUAAAUGUGUCCUAAAUCAGUCUCUGUGACACAUCUAACUUAUCGGGGUGUCCGACACAUUAAACUUUAGUAUCAGACAGAUGUUUGCAUCUACGAGGGAGAAUUAUCAUACAACAAAAUGCAACAUAACAUAACAUAACAUAAUCCUCAGCUUUUUUAUUGACAUCAACAAUCAGAGAAAUGAUCUCCACAGUAAUAUAGGUCUCCUAAAACAUUGCAACCACACUCUGUCGUACCUGUUAUACAUGUAGAAUACUUACUAAACCAGUACACUGUAUUCUUAUUCUUACUCACCUACAUGUCAAAACAGUCCUCACAUACUCCCAAGUCUCAAUGGCUUAGGACAACAAAGGUUUUAGGCCCAAACCGAGUGCAGAGAACAUACCAUGGAUAAAGCAAGCGUAAAUUACUAAUAAAACCAACUGACAUCACACUAUAAUGCGUUUUGCUGUAAUACUUAGAGACGUAAGCACCUCAAGA